GAUGAAGAACGCAGCAAAAUGCGAUAAGUAAUGUGAAUUGCAGAAUUCAGUGAAUCAUCGAAUCUUUGAACGCACAUUGCGCCCGCUGGAAUUCCGGCGGGCAUGCCUGUUCGAGCGUCAUUUCAACCCUCAAGCCCCCCGGGUUUGGUGUUGGGGAUCGGCUCUGCCUCACGGCGGUGCCGCCCCCGAAAUACAUUGGCGGUCUCGCUGCAGCCUCCAUUGCGUAGUAGCUAACACCUCGCAACUGGAACGCGGCGCGGCCAUGCCGUAAAACCCCAACUUCUGAAUGUUGACCUCGGAUCAGGUAGGAAUACCCGCUGAACUUAAGCAUAUCAAUAAGCGGAGGA
rnacentral:misc_RNA from 1 species